rnacentral:rRNA from 1 species
GACGAACGCUGGCGGCGUGCUUAACACAUGCAAGUCGAACGGAAAGGCCCUGCUUUUGUGGGGUGCUCGAGUGGCGAACGGGUGAGUAACACGUGAGUAACCUGCCCUUGACUUUGGGAUAACUUCAGGAAACUGGGGCUAAUACCGGAUAGGAGCUCCUGCUGCAUGGUGGGGGUUGGAAAGUUUCGGCGGUUUGGGAUGGACUCGCGGCUUAUCAGCUUGUUGGUGGGGUAGUGGCUUACCAAGGCUGUGACGGGUAGCCGGCCUGGGAGGGUGAACGGCCACAUUGGGACUGAGAUACGGCCCAGACUCCUACGGGAGGCAGCAGUGGAGAAUAUUGCACAAUGGGCGGAAGCCUGAUGCAGCAACGCCGCGUGCGGGAUGACGGCCUUCGGGUUGUAAACCGCUUUCGCCUGUGACGAAGCGUGAGUGACGGUAAUGGGUAAAGAAGCACCGGCUAACUACGUG